AGAGUUUGAUCCUGGCUCAGAACGAACGCUGGCGGCGCGUUUUAAGCAUGCAAGUCGAACGGCAAGGUAAGAGCUUGCUCUUACCCUAGAGUGGCGGACUGGUGAGUAACGCGUGGGUAAUCUACCUAUAGGAUGGGGAUAGCUACUAGAAAUAGUAGAUAAUACCGAAUGUGCUUAUAUGUUAAAUCAUGUAAGGAAAGGGAGCUAAGGCUUUGCCUAAAGAAGAGCCUGCGUCCCAUUAGCUAGUUGGUACGGUAACGGCGUACCAAGGCGACGAUGGGUAUCCGACCUGAGAGGGUGACCGGACACAUUGGGACUGAGACACAGCCCAGACUCCUACGGGAGGCAGCAGCUAAGAAUCUUCCGCAAUGGGCGCAAGCCUGACGGAGCGACGCCGCGUGAAUGAAGAAGGCCGAAAGGUUGUAAAAUUCUUUUAAGUUUGAAGAAUAACCAGUAUAGGGAAUGAUACUGAGAUGACGGUAAAACUUGAAUAAGCCCCGGCUAAUUACGUGCCAGCAGCCGCGGUAACACGUAAGGGGCGAGCGUUGUUCGGAAUUAUUGGGCGUAAAGGGUAUGCAGGCGGUUAGAUAAGCCCGGUGUGAAAUGCUCAAGCUUAACUUGAGAACUGCACUAGGUACUGUCUAACUUGAAUCACGAAGGGGAAACUGGAAUUCCAGGUGUAGGGGUGGAAUCUGUAGAUAUCUGGAAGAAUACCGGUGGCGAAGGCGGGUUUCUGGUCGAUGAUUGACGCUGAGAUACGAAAGUGUGGGGAGCAAACAGGAUUAGAUGCCCUGGUAGUCCACACCAUAAACGAUGUACACUAGGUGUUGGGGCAAGAGCCUCAGUGCCGAAGCAAACGUGAUAAGUGUACCGCCUGGGGAGUAUGCCGGCAACGGUGAAACUCAA
rnacentral:rRNA from 1 species